rnacentral:piRNA from 2 species
UACUACCGCCUGCAGGAGUUCGAGCU